GAUGAACGCUGGCGGCGUGCCUAAUACAUGCAAGUCGAGCGAACAGACGAGGAGCUUGCUCCUUUGACGUUAGCGGCGGACGGGUGAGUAACACGUGGAUAACCUACCUAUAAGACUGGGAUAAAUUCGGGAAACCGGAGCUAAUACCGGAUAACAUGUUGAACCGCAUGGUUCAACAGUGAAAGACGGUCUUGCUGUCACUUAUAGAUGGAUCCGCGCCGCAUUAGCUAGUUGGUAAGGUAACGGCUUACCAAGGCAACGAUGCGUAGCCGACCUGAGAGGGUGAUCGGCCACACUGGAACUGAGACACGGUCCAGACUCCUACGGGAGGCAGCAGUAGGGAAUCUUCCGCAAUGGGCGAAAGCCUGACGGAGCAACGCCGCGUGAGUGAAGAAGGUCUUCGGAUCGUAAAACUCUGUUAUUAGGGAAGAACAAAUGUGUAAGUAACUAUGCACGUCUUGACGGUACCUAAUCAGAAAGCCACGGCUAACUACGUG
rnacentral:rRNA from 1 species